UCGGCCCCGGUUCACGUGACGCCCACUCGGGUGUACGACCCGGCGCC
rnacentral:ncRNA from 1 species